UACAGAGGGUGCAAGCGUUGUUCGGAAUCAUUGGGCGUAAAGGGCGUGUAGGCGGUUUGUUAAGUCAUGUGUGAAAUCCCUCGGCUCAACCGGGGAACGACGCAUGAACUGGCAAGCUAGAGUACCAAAGAGGGGGGUGGAAUUCCCGGUGUAGCGGUGAAAUCGUAGAUAUCGAGAGGAACACCUGCGGCGAAGGCGGGUAGCUGGGCCGGACACGUGACGCUGAUGCGCGAAAG
rnacentral:rRNA from 1 species